AUGGCCCAGAUGGAGGAGCGCGUUGUGCGGGGAUUGACGGGCUCACCGCGGGCGGAGAAAGCGGGCGGCGGCUCCGGGAAACCAGCGAGCGGAGCCGCUCCGCAGCUCCGGCCGGUCAGAGGUGGAAGGAAGAGUGGGAAACAGGGGCGGGGACCGGGCACGCUCUCGCCAGCGCCGCGCCCCCGCCCUCCCGGCCCGCGAGCGCGUUCCCGCCUCGCCUGGCCCCGCCCCCUCGGCGUCGACGCCCUCCCGGGGCUCGGCUGGACUCCAGGGCGCCCUCUUCCCGCCUUCGCCUCUUUGCCCCGCCCCGACACCACCACCCCCGCCCAUGCCUCCGCGCGCGUGCGCGCCCCCCGCCCAGCGUCGCGCCUGCGUUCGCGGGAACGCGCGCCUUGUGCUUCCCGCUUCGCGACUCGCCCUCCUACAAGCCCGCGGGCCUUCCGGCUCCCGGGACUCAGGCUUAGGGCCCUGA
rnacentral:lncRNA from 1 species